AUUAAGACAUAACAUUAUUAUAGUGUUGUAAUAUAUAUGGUUUUAAAGAUGUUUGGUUUAGUCUACUUUAAAAAGGUGGUUUAGUCUACUUUGAAAAGGAUAGUACACUUGUAAGUGUGCGACAAAAUCUCAGAGACUUGACAUUCGAAGUUUUCAAGCAAAAAAUCAAAAUGUUCCAUGAAAUGGGGCGCAGAAGACUAUGAGGAAAGAAUUAUUAUUACCAGAGAUGGUUCAACUGAUGGAACAUUAUCCAACCACAAUAAAAAGAUUUGGAUUGCGCAAGUUUUGCAGUGUUGCCUUUUACCUGAUGGUGAAACUAAGUUCCGUGUAUGUAAGCCAUAAAUCCGAGGGAGACACAAGAACGGUCAAGAGGUCAGGUUCUGGCGGGGAACAAGCAUGACAUAAAGCCUGUGCUUGAUGCUGUCAUCAUUUCUGCCUGCAAAGGUUAUGUCUGGAUGUGGUGCAAAGACCACAGCAAAACAGUGCCAGAUGACACCUCCUUCAACAAGGCAGUGACACUCCAAAUAGACUACUCCAGGAAAUAAAUGAAAUCAUCUUGUUUAAAUUGAGACUAAAAAUAGGGGGUGUUAGAUUUUUUAAUUUUUACCCUGUCAUAAUGUGAUCAAUUCAACAACAACAAAAAUAUUGGUACUGUCAGUAUAUUUCAUUGUGUACAUUUUAUUGUUUACAUUUUAUAAUCUCAUAAAAAAAAUGUUAUUUA